rnacentral:lncRNA from 1 species
CUGUAUAUGAGAAAGCUCCAUAUAUCCAAGUGUAAAGAUAUCCAAAGGGCAGGGAAAUCUUAUCAAUAAACAAUAUAAAAUCCAAUAUUAUAGCAAACGACAGCAAUGUCAUACAAAGUUUCAUUAAGAUUCCCACUUAGUUUUAUAUUAGAACUUUAAUAUAUGAAAGGACUUCUUUAUUAGGGUCAAUCACUAAGGCUUUUUGAAGAGGGAUCUUUGUUCUAAUUUUUUUAAAAAUGCACUUUCAGGAAAAUGUGGAGAACAGAAAAGUUUUCAGGAGCAGUUAGGAGUAAUUUACUCCUUACCCCAUCUCCCACUAGUGAAUACUGCAUUUUGACUUCAGUCUGAAUGUCAUGGCAUGGUUUUAGUUUCAUGUACUCCACUGUAUGGAUGUAUCAGGAGAGGUUCUGACAAAUGCCUACAAGAAGGCUCACAGGAAAUGGAUGCAGGCAUGUCUCAUGUGUUGCUCUUUCCUUCCAGGAAUUUUUAUUGCAGUGAACAUUUGAGGUCUAGAUACUGUUCUUUAGGGCCUCUUUACCACUCACAGUAUUAUUAGACAGUAUUCAGGUGGUGUUAGCACACGCUUCACUUCUCUGGUAUGUGGUGACUUUGUUUCAAAAUACUAGUCAGUGUGACUCCCACUUUUGGGAGAAGCAGUUAGAGAUUCAUCCUAGAUGGUUUCUCUACCACUGGGUCUGUGUCAAAAAGAAGUGUUUUAACCCCUUGUUGUCACCUCCCUUAGGAGAAUAAAUGAUGAGCAGUGCUGAGAUCCAAUCAAAGUUUAUCUACAGAGGGUUCCAUAUGCAGGUCCCUCUCUGUUCCUCAGUUGUAACAAUGGUGUUACAUUGUUAUUUGUUUUGGACAAAGAUUUAUCACAGGAACAUCAGAAGCACCAACUGUUACUUGUAGUUUGUAGAUUUCAAAGAAUGGUCCAUGCUUUUUAAAGUCCAUUUUCUUCUUGAAUGAGGAGGAAAAAAAUAAUUAUAAGGCAGGUUAUUAGAGGCCUUUAGGCCUAGUAUAAACAAGGGUCUUACAGAACAGUGAGGGUAAUUAGCAGAAACUCUUUGUAUGAACUCAAUAAAUG